UCGUCACAAUAUAGCAACUUAUA
rnacentral:snRNA from 1 species